ACUCGAGUGGCGAACGGGUGAGUAACACGUGGGUGAUCUGCCCUGCACUUCGGGAUAAGCUUGGGAAACUGGGUCUAAUACCGGAUAGGAGCCAUCUUUAGUGUGGUGGUUGGAAAGUUUUUUCGGUGUAGGAUGAGCUCGCGGCCUAUCAGCUUGCUGGUGGGGUAGUGGCUUACCAAGGCUUUGACGGGUAGCCGGCCUGAGAGGGUGACCGGCCACAUUGGGACUGAGAUACGGCCCAG
rnacentral:rRNA from 1 species